GCCGGAGUGGCGAAAUGGCAGACGCACCAGCUUUAGGAGCUGACGCCCGCAAGGGCAUGAGGGUUCAAGUCCCUCCUCCGGCA
rnacentral:tRNA from 1 species